GGCGGACGGGUGAGUAACGCGUAGGAACCUACCUGGUAGCGGGGGACAACCUGGUGAAAACCAGGCUAAUACCGCAUACGCCCUACGGGGGAAAGCAGGGGAUCUUCGGACCUUGCACUAUCAGAUGGGCCUGCGUCGGAUUAGCUAGUUGGUGAGGUAAUGGCUCACCAAGGCGACGAUCCGUAGCUGGUUUGAGAGAAUGAUCAGCCACACUGGGACUGAGACACGGCCCAG
rnacentral:rRNA from 1 species